ACACGUUAUAUUAUAAGUUAAAAUAUAUUAUGAAUGACCAGUUAACUGGAUAAUGACUUUAACUUGAAUAAUAGUACUUGAUAAGCCAACUAUAGUAUAUGAAUACUAAGUUUUCUUAUAAGCACAAGAGUUGUAAUAUAAGUUAAAGUAUAUAAAUAAUAAGAUAACUGGAUAAUAAAUUUAACUUGAAGUAACCUCAGAUGAUGACAAGAUAACUGGAUGAGGGAUCUGCACGAAAGUAGUCAACCUCAGUUUAUUACCAGAUAAUUAACUGGAUGAGGGAUCUCUUUGUUUCUUUUUAACUUGUUAGAUUAUUAAAAAUAGAAAACAAAAGAACACAAAAGAAUUUAUACUGGUUCAGUCUCAACCGACCUACGCCUAGUCUCGUGAUAUACCCUCACGAAAUUCACUUGCCUAGAGGUAUUGGCGAAACCUGAAUCCUUUACAGGUAGAUUCCACCUAAGAGUUUUAUCAGGAAACUCUAUAAAAUCAACCAGAGCUUUUACUAGGCUACCACGCUCAAGAACUUUGAAUCUUUUACAGGUAGAUUCCACCUAAGAGUUUUAUCAGGAAAUUCUAUAAAACCAACCAGAGCUUUUACUAGGCUACCACGCUCAAGAACCUUGAAUCUUUUACAGGUAGAUUCCACCUAAGAGUUUUACCAGGAAACUCUAUAAAACCAACCUUGAGCUUUUUGGUUCAACUCAAUAAUCUCACACCUUGGUAAUCUUGAAAACAACCUCUCUCAACCAAAGUGGAAAACACACAAAAAGAUGUAAGAGUUUUGGACAACACUUCAACUUAACUUAGAUUACUCAAGAAGAUUAGAAGAAGUGUAGAGCUUUUAGGAACUUUGAGCAAAGAACACUUGGACACAACCUUGGACGUUGGAAGCUUGGAAGCUUUGAAGGUGGUGAACUUGAGAGUGGAAAUGUGGAACUCAAGGUAGGAAUUUUGAAAGCUUUUG
rnacentral:lncRNA from 1 species